rnacentral:rRNA from 1 species
UAGGGAAUAUUGGGCAAUGGGCGAAAGCCUGACCCAGCAACGCCGCGUGAAGUAUGAAGGCCUUCGGGUUGUAAACUUCUUUGAUCAGGGAAGAAACAAAUGACGGUACCUGAAAAACAAGCCACGGCUAACUACGUGCCAGCAGCCGCGGUAAUACGUAGGUGGCGAGCGUUAUCCGGAUUUACUGGGUGUAAAGGGCGUGCAGGCGGGCUGAUAAGUCAGAUGUGAAAUCCCCGAGCUUAACUCGGGAACUGCAUCUGAUACUGUUGGUCUUGAGUGCUGGAGAGGAUAGUGGAAUUCCUAGUGUAGCGGUAAAAUGCGCAGAUAUUAGGAGGAACACCAGUGGCGAAGGCGGCUAUCUGGACAGUAACUGACGCUGAGGCGCGAAAGAGUGGGUAGCAAACAGG